UCUGUUUUCUAGACGUACAUAAGCACAAGCUGCGAGUUGGAUGACGUCAGGGGCGCGGAAAUUUCCUUUCCAAAACUUUGCACGUUCCGCGUAUUAUGCCUUCGUAUCUUAAAAUAGGAGAUAUCGGUAGACUGUUUUCUAGCUCUUCAGCAGAAUUCAAA